ensembl:ribozyme RNaseP_nuc Nuclear RNase P
GUGGGCGGAAGCUCAUUGUAGAGGUCACAUGCUGAGUGCUCGUCACUCCACCAAUCACCUCGGGGAAGGUCUGAGACAGGAGCCAAUCGCUGUCCUUGCAGGGCAUCACCUGAUGCGGGUGAGCGAGUGCACAGAAACGCUGGUCCAUGGAGGGCAGUUCUCACAGGAGAAGCCAGGGGGCGCAGUUUGAGCCUCCCUGGUGGAUGUGAAGCUCUCCGGCUUGGAAUCACUCGCGGCUGGCAAAUGAGUGCGAUGUAUGAGGUGGAGCACAGCUCCAGAACCCAAUUCAGACUACUCUCCGCCCAC